AGAGUUUGAUCCUGGCUCAGGACGAACGCUGGCGGCACGCUUAACACAUGCAAGUCGAACGAGAGAAGAGGAGCUUGCUUUUCUGAUCUAGUGGCGGACGGGUGAGUAACACGUGAGCAAUCUGCCUUUCAGAGGGGGAUACCGAUUGGAAACGAUCGUUAAUACCGCAUAACAUAAUUGAACCGCAUGAUUUGAUUAUCAAAGAUUUAUCGCUGAAAGAUGAGCUCGCGUCUGAUUAGCUAGUUGGUAAGGUAACGGCUUACCAAGGCGACGAUCAGUAGCCGGACUGAGAGGUUGAUCGGCCACAUUGGGACUGAGACACGGCCCAGACUCCUACGGGAGGCAGCAGUGGGGAAUAUUGCACAAUGGAGGAAACUCUGAUGCAGCGAUGCCGCGUGAGGGAAGAAGGUUUUAGGAUUGUAAACCUCUGUCUUCAGGGACGAAAAAAGACGGUACCUGAGGAGGAAGCUCCGGCUAACUACGUGCCAGCAGCCGCGGUAAUACGUAGGGAGCGAGCGUUGUCCGGAAUUACUGGGUGUAAAGGGAGCGUAGGCGGGAUCGCAAGUCAGAUGUGAAAACUAUGGGCUUAACCCAUAAACUGCAUUUGAAACUGUGGUUCUUGAGUGAAGUAGAGGUAAGCGGAAUUCCUAGUGUAGCGGUGAAAUGCGUAGAUAUUAGGAGGAACAUCAGUGGCGAAGGCGGCUUACUGGGCUUUAACUGACGCUGAGGCUCGAAAGCGUGGGGAGCAAACAGGAUUAGAUACCCUGGUAGUCCACGCCGUAAACGAUGAUUACUAGGUGUGGGGGGACUGACCCCUUCCGUGCCGCAGCAAACGCAAUAAGUAAUCCACCUGGGGAGUACGACCGCAAGGUUGAAACUCAAAGGAAUUGACGGGGGCCCGCACAAGCAGUGGAGUAUGUGGAUUAAUUCGAAGCAACGCGAAGAACCUUACCAGGUCUUGACAUCGUAUGCAUAGCUCAGAGAUGAGUGAAAUCUCUUCGGAGACAUAUAGACAGGUGGUGCAUGGUUGUCGUCAGCUCGUGUCGUGAGUUGUUGGGUUAAGUCCCGCAACGAGCGCAACCCUUACUGUUAGUUGCUACGCAAGAGCACUCUAGCAGGACUGCCGUUGACAAAACGGAGGAAGGUGGGGAUGACGUCAAAUCAUCAUGCCCCUUAUGACCUGGGCCUCACACGUACUACAAUGGCUGUCAACAGAGGGAAGCAAAGCCGCGAGGUGGAGCGAACCCCUAAAAGCAGUCUUAGUUCGGAUUGUAGGCUGCAACCCGCCUACAUGAAGUCGGAAUUGCUAGUAAUCGCAGAUCAGCAUGCUGCGGUGAAUACGUUCCCGGGCCUUGUACACACCGCCCGUCACGCCAUGGGAGUCGGUAACACCCGAAGCCUGUAGUCUAACCGCAAGGAGGACGCAGUCGAAGGUGGGAUUGAUGACUGGGGUGAAGUCGUAACAAGGUA
rnacentral:rRNA from 1 species